UGCAAGUCGAACGUGAAGCUGGAGCUUGCUCCAGUGGAAAGUGGCAGACGGGUGAGUAACGCGUGGGAAUUUACCCAGUGGUUCGGAAUAACGCAGGGAAACUUGUGCUAAUACCGGAUACGCCCUUCGGGGGAAAGAUUUAUCGCCAUUGGAUGAGCCCGCGUCGGAUUAGCUUGUUGGUGAGGUAAAAGCUCACCAAGGCGACGAUCCGUAGCUGGUCUGAGAGGAUGAUCAGCCACACUGGGACUGAGACACGGCCCAGACUCCUACGGGAGGCAGCAGUGGGGAAUAUUGCGCAAUGGGGGAAACCCUGACGCAGCCAUGCCGCGUGAGUGAAGAAGGCCUUAGGGUUGUAAAACUCUUUCACCGGUGAAGAUAAUGACGGUAGCCGGAGAAGAAGCCCCGGCCAACUCCGUGCCAGCAGCCGCGGUAAUACGGAGGGGGCUAGCGUUGUUCGGAUUUACUGGGCGUAAAGCGCGCGUAGGCGGGCUGGUUAGUUGGGGGUGAAAUCCCGAGGCUCAACCUCGGAACUGCCCUCAAUACUGCCAGUCUUGAGUUCGAGAGAGGUGAGUGGAAUUCCUAGUGUAGAGGUGAAAUUCGUAGAUAUUAGGAAGAACACCAGUGGCGAAGGCGGCUCACUGGCUCGAUACUGACGCUGAGGCGCG
rnacentral:rRNA from 1 species